rnacentral:tRNA from 1 species
CGGACCCUUAGCUCAGCUGGAUAGAGCAACUGCCUUCUAAGCAGUAGGUCACAGGUUCGAAUCCUGUAGGGUUCGCCAC